CUUGUGCUUUCGAGUAAGAACCCCACUAACAAAACAAACCACAAGCUAUCUUUUGUAUCAUUUCUUGUUCUUUCCCACAAUAUUCAAACCAAAAACACACCCAAAUAUAUGUUAGCAAAUACAUUAAUGAUCCUUAAAACCACAUACUAGCUAGCUAGUACUCGUAAUUAUCAACACCUUUCUUUAUGAUCAUCAAGUCUUUAUGUUACAAACAACAGUAAUUAUGAAGAACGUUUCAAGAAACAAGUUCUUGCUAUGUUUUAAGCCAGUUGUUGAUAUGGAUCAGCUAGUACUUAAUCACUCCAAAGUUGGUGUUGUUGAUCACUCAACAGACAAGUCUUUGAAGCAUCUUUCCAGGGACAAGAAGGAAAGGGAUCAUAUGAAGCGUUUGGUCCCAAAUUCUUCUUUGCUUUCAGAAGAUAAUGAUACGUGUUCAGCAAUAAUUUCUUCAUCGGAGAAUUCAUUGAUUCUUCAUUCUUCAAAGAAAAACUUAUCUCGUGUGAUCAAGGCCGUUUUCUUCGAGACCAUACUGUCCAAGAGAAUUCACGAUAGAAAAGGUAAUCUAUGUCAAGACUCGAAUAUUGGAUCAAAGCCUUCUUCUUCUUCUUCUUCUUCUUCUUCUUCUUCACCACCACCACCACCACCAUCAAUGGACAGCAAGAAAUCUUUGGAUGAUACAAGUGAUCAUGACAAUACCAACUUGGUCAAUAAGGUAUUGAUCGAUACUCAUCAAGCUAAUGAAGUAACAUCUUGUCCAAGUUCGAUAUCAGAAUCAAGAAAAUUGUCCAAGAUAAAGAACUCAAGAAACCCAAAUCAAGAACUUGAAUUCAAGGCAAAAACCAUGGACAAGUCAGGCAUAUAUCUAUUCCUUAUUAGUCUUACGGUGACAGUUUUAUGGGGUAAGCUAUGUGCAAUAUUUUUCACCAUAAUCUGGUUGUAUUUUCUGCCUCGAAGACAGCACAAUACUAGCCGGCCCCAAAAUGUUACAAGAAGCUUGUGGUUGCCAGAGAAAGAAGAGAGCAAAGAUCAGUACUCCUACAAGAAGAAGGUCAUAAUGGAAGGGCUGCUUGAAAGGAACCAUCAGAGGGUUAACGGCAUUAAAUUCUUGACGUGAAAAUUCUAUUUUUCGUGUUUGAUGCAAUCUCUUCUUCUCUGGUUUUGAGAAAAAAAAUUAAAGUCCUGGCAGGGUUCAGGAGAUGGAUCACACGCUAGUUUCUUGUACUGUUGCCCCUUUUGCAUUUCGGGGUCUGGCAGAAUCAGAGCGCACAACAUUCUCAUUUGCUUUUUGCUCCUUUCCUAGCUUUAUUUAUUUAUUUAUUUUUUAUUUUCUUUUGGAGAAUUGUAAGAUAUUAUCAAGAGAAAAUAAUAUAAAGAAACCGGAUUAAUGUAUUAUAGAAUGGAUGGGGUCAUGGUUUGUUGGAUGCUUUUAUUUAAUUGAAAAACAAUUAUUUUAUUUAAUAA